rnacentral:lncRNA from 1 species
AGUCCUUAUACAUUCAAUUGAAGCCUUCAUACGGUUACCCAUAUAUAUAGGAAAUCUUUAGUUGGGUUUGUGAUUUGGAUCAAAAGGAAUCCUUGCAUCAUGUUGGAUACAUGAGUAGUAGCACCAAAAUUAAACCACCAAGCUUCGAAACAUACAAAAACAUAAAUUUUUCCUUUCUUUUCAAACUAAGCUUUAUGUUUUCGGCAAUCUUUCUGAUAGUGUCCUUUUUUCUUACAAAAGUGACACUUAUUUUCCAUUCGUUUCUUUUUCUCGC